rnacentral:rRNA from 1 species
UACGGGGGGGGGCAAGCGUUGUUCGGAAUUACUGGGCGUAAAGGGCGCGUAGGCGGCGCAACAAGUCACUUGUGAAAUCUCCGGGCUUAACCCGGAGCGGUCAAGUGAUACUGUCGUGCUAGAGUGCGGAAGGGGGCUACUGGAAUUCUCGGUGUAGCGGUGAAAUGCGUAGAUAUCGAGAGGAACACCUACGGCGAAGGCGGGUAGCUGGGACGGUACUGACGCUGAGACGCGAAAGCGUGGGGAGCAAACAGG